rnacentral:rRNA from 1 species
CGUAGGUGGCAAGCGUUAUCCGGAAUUAUUGGGCGUAAAGCGCGCGUAGGCGGUUUUUUAAGUCUGAUGUGAAAGACCCACGGCUCAACCGUGGAGGGUCAUUGGAAACUGGAAAACUUGAGUGCAGAAGAGGAAAGUGGAAUUCCAUGUGUAGCGGUGAAAUGCGCAGAGAUAUGGAGGAACACCAGUGGCGAAGGCGACUUUCUGGUCUGUAACUGACGCUGAUGUGCGAAAGACGUGGGGGAGUCAAACAGGAUU